ACAUGGCUUAUGAGUAUUUUAAAAGCUUGGCUCCUGCCAAAAUCAUUCUUGGGGAUACCUUGGCUGAGGCAUCUAACCGAGUCCACCAAGGCUGUUAAAAAUUUUGUAUACACGUAAACAAAUUAUUAGUUUGAAAAACACAGCGGUUCCUUGGCGUUAGCGGAGUUCAUCAUCACGAGGUGGUUCGGCGUGACGUGAACUCUAACCAUACCUCAGGAGAUACCCUACGCGCCUCUCCGACCGAGGUACAUAUAUAUAUAUCCGGAUUUCGUGCCCCUCUAAUAGGCUUGUCCACAGAAUUCGCCUACUGCAGC
rnacentral:lncRNA from 1 species